GACGAACCGUGCGAACGUUGUUCGGAAUCACUGGGCUUAAAGGGCGCGUAGGCGGGCUCAAAAGUCAGGGGUGAAAUCCCACGGCUCAACCGUGGAAGUGCCUUUGAUACUGUGAGUCUCGAGGGAGGUAGGGGCGUGCGGAACUUCCGGUGGAGCGGUGAAAUGCGUAGAGAUCGGAAAGAACACCAACGGCGAAAGCACUCUGCUGGGCCGACACUGACACUGAGAGACGAAAGCUAGGGGAGCGAAUGGG
rnacentral:rRNA from 1 species